AUUGAACGCUGGCGGCAGGCCUAACACAUGCAAGUCGAACGGUAGCACAGAGAGCUUGCUCUCGGGUGACGAGUGGCGGACGGGUGAGUAAUGUCUGGGAAACUGCCUGAUGGAGGGGGAUAACUACUGGAAACGGUAGCUAAUACCGCAUAACGUCGCAAGACCAAAGAGGGGGACCUUCGGGCCUCUUGCCAUCAGAUGUGCCCAGAUGGGAUUAGCUAGUAGGUGGGGUAACGGCUCACCUAGGCGACGAUCCCUAGCUGGGCUGAGAGGAUGAGCAGCCACACUGGAACUGAGACACGGUCCAGACUCCUACGGGAGGCAGCAGGGGGGAAUAUUGCACAAUGGGCGCAAGCCUGAUGCAGCCAUGCCGCGUGUAUGAAGAAGGCCUUCGGGUUGUAAAGUACUUUCAGCGGGGAGGAAGGGAGUAAGGUUAAUAACCUUGUUCAUUGACGUUACCCGCAGAAGAAGCACCGGCUAACUCCGUGCCAGCAGCCGCGGUAA
rnacentral:rRNA from 1 species